AAUUUGCCUGCUGGGUGGAGGUUCAAGACAGACACACAAAAUGCAGCUUUACCACAAUUGCGAAGCAGCAUAUUAAUUAACAAAAACAAAAUGACAAGGUUGUAGCAUGGAGGUCUGCAGUUUCCGUUGACCCUCUAGAUGGGUCAGUCACCUUUGAAGUACUCUCCAUGACCAUCGUGAUAUUCUGCAAUGAGACAUCCCCACGGCCUGACUGAAGCACCUGCCUGGCAACACUUUUCCAGGGGGGACCCUGUGCUUGGAAGCAAGCAUUUUCCCUUGGAGAUGCACAGGAGUGAUAUUCC